rnacentral:rRNA from 1 species
UACAGAGGGUGCGAGCGUUAAUCGGAAUUACUGGGCGUAAAGCGUACGUAGACGGUAGCGUAAGUCAGAUGUGAAAGCCCCGGGCUCAACCUGGGAAUUGCAUUUGAGACUGCUCUGCUCGGGUGCGGAAGAGGGAAGCGGAAUUUCCGGUGUAGCGGUGAAAUGCGUAGAUAUCAAGUGGAACACCAGUGGCGAAGGCGAGUCUCUGGACAUUUCCUGACGCUGAGGCACGAAAGCCAGGGGAGCAAACGGG